AGCCAUAGGAAUUACGAUACCUUCGGGCAGAUAUCAAGGGCCAUGAUAGAAAGGGGCCAUGACUGGGACGCAGUGCAGUGCAGGGUUAAAGUGAAGCAGCUGCGGAAUGCCUACCGCAAAGCGCAGGAGGCAAACUGUCACUCCGAUGCUGCACCCACGGCCUGCCAUUUCUACAAAGAGCUGGAGGCGAUACUUGGGGGCAACCCCACCUCCACUCCGAAGAGCAUUAUGGACACUUCAGAGGCUGUGGCAGCCCAGAGUGCAACAAGGCAGGAAGAGGAAAGUGGGAGUGAGGGUGCUGAGGAGGAGGGGGGCCCAGAGCCAGAGGACGGCCCGGCAUCCUCAGAUGCAUGCAGCUAGGAGCUGUUCUCGAGCCAGAAGGAGGGUGGCCGGUCACAGCAGACUGUGCUUGGGGAAGAGCAAACAGCAGAGGAGGUGCCCGAUGCAACCUUGAGAUCCCAGCCAUCCUUGUUAUCAACCGCCGAAAGGCUGCAAAGAAUCAAGAAGCGGCCGCGAAGAAGCAAGGAGGACCUUCUGCAUGAAGUCAUGCAGUAGUCCCUUACUGAAAAUCAAAAAGUACAGGAGUGGCGGGAGACUGAAAGGAGGCUCUGCCAGGGGAAUGCGGAUUGCCGGCAACAAACCACAGAGUGGCUCCUAAGCAUUAUGGGGUGCCAAGCGGACGCGAUGCAGGUGCUCAUAGCACUGCCAACGGAGCAGAUCUACGCCCACCCCCCCUGCAGCCCUUGUCCCAAAACUCUUGCCCUUGUGCCCCCAUGUCACCGCCAACCCACUUUCCCCAACAUCUGGUUUCUUAUCACCACCAGCUGCCUCCAACACCUGUAGCUUCACCACCCAGCCCUGCAAACUACGACUCUUAACCACUACACUCAACCCCUAUCACCAUGCAUUUUAGCCAGCCUGCAGUGCAGCACUCAUUGCACGGCACUCCAGAUAGGAAGGCUGAAUAUGAUAACAGGACAUAUGCAAAUCUGUGAUUGUCCUGUUCCUCACCCCGCCCCCUUCCCUCCUCCCAUACAGCACAGAUGUGUCAUGCCAUGUGUGUUUCCCCAGCAGUUCUGUUUCUUUUCAAUAAAUGAAUUUUUUCGCUUUGCAA